rnacentral:rRNA from 1 species
AUACUGCAGUUGAGCGCUGAAGGUUGGUACUUGUACCAACUGGAUGAGCAGCGAACGGGUGAGUAACGCGUGGGGAAUCUGCCUUUGAGCGGGGGACAACAUUUGGAAACGAAUGCUAAUACCGCAUAAAAACUUUAAACACAAGUUUUAAGUUUGAAAGAUGCAAUUGCAUCACUCAAAGAUGAUCCCGCGUUGUAUUAGCUAGUUGGUGAGGUAAAGGCUCACCAAGGCGAUGAUACAUAGCCGACCUGAGAGGGUGAUCGGCCACAUUGGGACUGAGACACGGCCCAAACUCCUACGGGAGGCAGCAGUAGGGAAUCUUCGGCAAUGGACGAAAGUCUGACCGAGCAACGCCGCGUGAGUGAAGAAGGUUUUCGGAUCGUAAAACUCUGUUGGUAGAGAAGAACGUUGGUGAGAGUGGAAAGCUCAUCAAGUGACGGUAACUACCCAGAAAGGGACGGCUAACUACGUGCCAGCAGCCGCGGUAAUACGUAGGUCCCGAGCGUUGUCCGGAUUUAUUGGGCGUAAAGCGAGCGCAGGUGGUUUAUUAAGUCUGGUGUAAAAGGCAGUGGCUCAACCAUUGUAUGCAUUGGAAACUGGUAGACUUGAGUGCAGGAGAGGAGAGUGGAAUUCCAUGUGUAGCGGUGA